rnacentral:rRNA from 1 species
AAUCAAAUUCCGUGAUAGCUGGUUCUCUCCGAAAUGCAUUUGGGUGCAGCGUCGGGUCAUUACGUCCCGGGGGUAGAGCUACUGGAUGCUUGCGGGCCCGUAUCGGGUACCAACAGCAACCAAACUCCGAAUACCGGUGACGCGUAUCCCGGCAGUGAGUCGGCGGGGGAUAAGCUUCGUCGUCGAAAGGGAAACAGCCCAGACCGUCGUCUAAGGUCCCGAAGCGUGUGCUAAGUGGGAAAGGAUGUGGAGUCGCAUAGACAGCCAGGAGGUUGGCUCAGAAGCAGCCACCCUUGAAAGAGUGCGUAACAGCUCACUGGUCUAGUGGUUCCGCGCCGACAAUGUAGCGGGGCUCAAGCACACCACCGAAGACGCGGCAGUAUUUUGUACUGGGUAGGAGAGCGUCCCAUGAGGGGCGAAGCGGCCGUGUGAACGCGCCGUGGACUUCAUGGGAGUGAGAAUGCAGACAUGAGUAGCGAGAGACGGGUGAAGAUCCCGUCCGCUGGAUGACCAAGGGUUCCAGGGCCACGUUCAUCGUCCCUGGGUGAGUCGGGUCCUAAGGCGAGGCCGACAGGCGUAGUCGAAUGGAUGAACGGGUCGAUAUUCCCGUACCGGCUUUCAGCCGCCAAAACCGAGGCUUGGAGUACUAACCUCCGGGUCCGGGCUUACUGCUCCUUCGGGGGCGGGAUGCCCUGGCCUGUUGGGACCGAUCCUUGUAGUAGGUCAGCGCAGGAGUGACGCAGAAGGGUAGCCGGCCGCGGAGGUGGUCUUCCGUGGUCAAGCACGCAGGGCGUGGGACAGGCAAAUCCGUCCCGCAUGGGUCCGAGGUGCGAUGAUGGGGGCCUUAUGGCCCGAUAUCCGGUGAUCCCGGCUGCCGAGAAAAGCUUCGGCGUCAGGCUCGAAGCCGCCCGUACCCCAAACCGACACUGGUGGUCAGGUAGAGAAUACCAAGGCGAUCGAGCGAAUCCUGGUCAAGGAACUCGGCAAAUCACUCCCGUUCCUUCGGUUUAAGGGAGACCCCCGAUGGUGAACACACUUGCUGUGGGAGCUUUUGGGGGUGGCACAGACCAGGGGGUAGCGACUGUUUACCAAAAACACAGGUGCAUGCGAAGGCGAAAGCCGCUGUAUAUGCACUGACGCCUGCCCGGUGCCGGAAGGUUAAGAGGAUCCGUCAGCUUUUGCGAAGCGGUGAAUUCAAGCCCCGGUAAACGGCGGUGGUAACUAUAACCAUCCUAAGGUAGCGAAAUUCCUUGUCGGGUAAGUUCCGACCUGCACGAAUGGCGUAACGACUUCCCCACUGUCUCGACCAGGAGCUCGGCGAAAUUGCAGUACGAGUAAAGAUGCUCGUUAAGCGCAGAAGGACGAAAAGACCCCGGGACCUUUACUAUACCUUGGUAUUGGCGUUAGGCGCGGAUUGUGUAGCAUAGGCGGGAGGCUUCGAAGCGUGGGCGCCAGCUCAUGUGGAGCCGCAAGGUGAAAUACCGCUCUGUUCUCGUUUGACGUCUAACCUCGACAAGUCAUCCUUGCCAGGGACAGUGCCUGGCGGGUAGUUUAACUGGGGCGGUUGCCUCCCAAAGAGUAACGGAGGCGCUCAAAGGUCCGCUCAGCCCGGUUGGCAAUCGGGUGUCGAGUGUAAUCGCACAAGCGGGCUUGACUGCGAGGACGACGGUCCGAGCAGGGACGAAAGUCGGAGAUAGUGAUCCGGUGCCGGCGCACGGGCGCGGCAUCGCUCAACGGAUAAAAGGUACCCCGGGGAUAACAGGCUGAUCAUUCCCAAGAGUCCAUAUCGACGGGAUGGUUUGGCACCUCGAUGUCGGCUCGUCGCAUCCUGGGGCUGGAGCAGGUCCCAAGGGUUCGGCUGUUCG